rnacentral:rRNA from 1 species
CGGCGGACGGGUGAGUAACGCGUGGGUAACCUGCCUCAUACAGGGGGAUAACAGUUAGAAAUGACUGCUAAUACCGCAUAAGGCCACGGUACCGCAUGGUACAGUGGUAAAAACUCCGGUGGUAUGAGAUGGACCCGCGUCUGAUUAGGUAGUUGGUGGGGUAACGGCCUACCAAGCCGACGAUCAGUAGCCGACCUGAGAGGGUGACCGGCCACAUUGGGACUGAGACACGGCCCAG